rnacentral:rRNA from 1 species
UGAGUGCGAGCUGCUACGGCAGCGAAGUUGGUGACGUCAAGCUUCCAAGAAAAGCCCUAUACCCGUUAAGGCAUCAUGGCCUGUACCCGAAACCGACACAGGUGGGGUGGUAGAGAAUACCGAGGGGCGCGAGGUAACUCUCUCUAAGGAACUCGGCAAAAUGGCCCCGUAACUUCGGGAGAAGGGGUGCCACCGCAAGGUGGUCGCAGUGAAGAGGCCCAGGCGACUGUUUACCAAAAACACAGGUCUCCGCUAAGUCGCAAGACGAUGUAUGGGGGCUGACGCCUGCCCAGUGCCGGAAGGUUAAGGAAGCUGGUCAGCGCAAGCGAAGCUGGCGACUGAAGCCCCGGUGAACGGCGGCCGUAACAAUAACGGUCCUAAGGUAGCGAAAUUCCUUGUCGGGUAAGUUCCGACCCGCACGAAAGGCGUAACGAUCUGGGCGCUGUCUCGGAGAGAGGCUCGGCGAAAUAGAAUUGUCUGUGAAGAUGCGGACUACGUGCACCCGGACAGAAAGACCCUAUGAAGCAUUACUGUAGCUUGGUAUUGUGCCCGGGCUCUGAAUGCGCAGGAUAGGUGGGAGGCUUUGAUCAUCGGCUUGCGGGUCGAUGUGAGCCAACGGUGAGAUACCACUCUUUCAGAGCUAGGGUUCUAACAGUCACCCGUUAUCCGGGGACUGGACAGUAUCAGGUGGGCAGUUUGACUGGGGCGGUCGCCUCCUAAAAGGUAACGGAGGCGCGCAAAGGUCUGCUCAGGCUGGUUGGAAAUCAGCCGACGAGUGUAAAAGCAGAAGCAGGCUUGACUGUGAGACCUACAAGUCGAACAGGGAGGAAACUCGGCUUUAGUGAUCCGACGGUUCUGCGUGGAAGGGCCGUCGCUCAACGGAUAAAAGUUACUCUAAGGAUAACAGGCUGAUCUCCCCCAAGAGUUCACAUCGACGGGGAGGUUUGGCACCUCGAUGUCGGCUCAUCGCAACCUGGGGCUGAAGUCGGUCCCAAGGGUUGGGCUGUUCGCCCAUUAAAGCGGUACGCGAGCUGGGUUCAGAACGUCGUGAGACAGUUCGGUCCAUAUCCGGUGCAUGCGCAGGAAUAUUGAGAGGAGUUCUCCCUAGUACGAGAGGACCGGGAGGAACGCACCUCUGGUGUACCAGUUAUCGUGCCAACGGUAAACGCUGGGUAGCCAUGCGCGGAGAGGAUAACCGCUGAAAGCAUCUAAGUGGGAAGCCCACCUCAAGAUGAGUAUUCCCAUGGCGUUAGCCAGUAAGGUCACGGGAAGAACACCCGUUGAUAGGCUCUAUGUGGAAGCGCAGUAAUGCGUGAAGCAGAGGAGUACUAAUAGACCGAGGGCUUGAC